rnacentral:snRNA from 1 species
GUGCUCACUUUGGCAGCACAUACUAAAAUUGGAACGAUACAGAGAAGAUUAGCAUGACCCCUGCGCAAGGAUGACACACAAAUUCAUGAAGCGUUUCAUAUUUUU